rnacentral:rRNA from 1 species
CCAGUACGCGUGAAGGAUGAAGGUUCUAUGGAUUGUAAACUUCUUUUAUAUGGGAAUAAAACCACUUACGUGUAGGUGUCUGUAUGUACCAUAUGAAUAAGGACCGGCUAACUCCGUGCCAGCAGCCGCGGUAAUACGGAGGGUCCGAGCGUUAUCCGGAUUUAUUGGGUUUAAAGGGAGCGUAGAUGGGUUUUUAAGUCAGUUGUGAAAGUUUGCGGCUCAACCGUAAAAUUGCAGUUGAUACUAAAGACCUUGAGUAUAGUUGAGGUGGGCGGAAUUCGUGGUGUAGCGGUGAAAUGCUUAGAUAUCACGAAGAACUCCGAUUGCGAAGGCAGCUCACUAAGCUAUAACUGACAUUGAGGCUCGAAAGUGUGGGUAUCAAACAGGAUUAGAUACCCUGGUAGUCCACACGGUAAACGAUGAAUACUCGCUGUAGGCGAUACACAGUCUGCGGCCAAUCGAAAGCAUUAAGUAUUCCACCUGGGGAGUACGCCGGCAACGGUGAAACUCACAGAAAUUGA